CUCUAAUAUAUUAGAGGAAGGAGAACUAAGUAGAUAAAAGCUCAGGUAUCCAUAAAAUGUAAUAUCUAAACUAGGACAAUGUUGAAAAUGAAGAAAGCCAUAAUGAUUACAGUGGGACAAUAGAAGGAAACUGGGGCUAUACUGGGCAAAUUGAGACAUUAGAGUCACCCUGUUAAAAGUCUGUGCUGAGUUCUGAGGUCACACUCUGCUAGUAGUUACAGAGAAACAGCUGAAGGCUUUUCAGUAGUGUUGUUAAAUGACCAGAACUUCAGGAAGCUUAGCAUAGAAGUGGGUUAUGGCUCGAUUGGAGCAGAGAGAGACUGAGGCUAGGAAAGCCCAUGAACAUUUUUAUGACACCAGUGAAGACAUAAGGAAAGGCCAAGCCACGAUGGCAGCAAUAAAAAGAGAAAACCUAUAUGAGACAUUAUCUAAAAUCACAGUUAAAGCAGUUAAAGAAGAUAUACAAGUUGUGACACUGGUCCAAGUAGUUAUAAACUUUUGAACACAUCUCAAGGGACUUGAUAGGUAAAGGUCAGGCAUGGUAGAGCAAUUGCCAGCAGGAGAAACCAAGCCUGAAUAGAGGAAGGAAAAGCAUGUGGAAGCUGGAUAGAGUGAAAGAACUUGUGCUUUGGGGCGAGAGAGUCUGUGUCCCAUCCUGGAUCAUUCCCUGACCACAUGGCCUUAGGUGUCCAUGUGUUUGGGGCAAAAAUGAGCCACUGCUAACAAUUGUAAAGAAAGAGAGAACAGCUGUUUGCAUCUGGAUAUGGGGUAAGAAAGAACAGCUGCUGGCAGCGGUGGCAGACAAGAAAGUGAGCAAAUGAGCAGCUGUUGGUAAUUCAGAAUCUCAUCAGCCACACAGAAUAAUUGAAAUCCAGAACCAUGCAGGGCUCGACUUAACAGCUUUAUUGCAUCCUGCUGUUCAUUAGAUCCUGCCUGUCCUCCAUUAGAGAUUCCUGUGAUAGCUACAUGAGGACUCUCAACAGGAAUAUCCACCCCGACAUCCCCAUCCACAACCCUUUGAAGAAGCAACCCAAGAGAGGUAAAAAGGCACAGACUUUUCUUCCAAUCUCUUGCCGGUGCCUUCUACUGGCCAAACCCAAUAGAAAAAUGGAGGAUCAGAGAAUUGUUUACGCAGUUUAUAUGCAUCAGCUCCCCUGAGGCACCAGUAAGGUGGAGUUUCCCUGAACAAGCGCUCUCUUUGCCUGCCACCAUCCACGUAAGACGUGACUUGCUCCUCCUUGCCUUCUGCCAUGAUUGUGAGGCCUCUUCAGCCAUGUGGACACAGUAGUAAGGACACAUUCAUAACCACAUAAGGAAUACUUUUCUCCACUAGAUCAAAAGGAAAUCUCUUGAAAAGAAAGCUGUAGCUGUACAUAAUACAUAUACUGGGUAUCUUCCAUUCUACUUGCCAUACUCUGCACCCUGCUCUGUGCCUUGGGAGGCUAACCUGAAUCAACUGCAUCAACAGGACUUUCACACCUUCUGGGCCCUGGUUGGAUUCAGCCAAUGCAUCUGAGCUCUUGUUUGUUCUCCAUGCUUUGAUCACCUUCCUGACGAUGUUGCCACCUGCCUGCCUCCUGCCUGGGAUUUCUGAGUUUGAUCCUUCCGAAGGCUUCCUGUCACUGUGCUGGGACAGAUAUCAUCUUGAGGACCUCCUUCAUGGGUCACUGUUGACCCUGGAGACUGUGUUCCUCAUGCCGGGCUCAUGAACAUAUCUCAUCUCCAGGUCCCAUACACUCCCACGGUGGCUUUGCCGGUGCCUUCCUAUGCUGAUAAUCUCUGUGACUCAGAAGGCUUAAUUGAUCAUGUGAAGAGAAACUAAGUAGAGAAGUGUUUUUUUUUUUCUUUUAUUCAGUUACAAGGAAGAUGUUUCUAAUAGUCCAAACGUUUUUAAAAACGGGAUAAGCUGCCUUGUGAGAGGGGAAGUUCACUGUCACCAGGAACUUUUAUAAAGCCUGGGAAUAAUUGGUCUCCAAUGCCAUGAAAAGAUUUCUGCAUUGUUAGCAAACUGAACUGGAGUGAUUCUAAGGAUAGAAUAUCUCAAGAUUUAGUGUACAAAAAGUCAGCCAGACAACUUGUUUUAAAAAAUGUAGAAUUCCCAGAAUUCAGUAAGUCCAGAUUGAAGUACAAGAAUCAGCAUUUCAGACAAAUCCACUCCUCUUCCCUCUCCACCCUAGGUGAUUCCAAUGCAUGUGAAUGUGAGUCAUACUUUUUAAAACAUUCUUCACAGAAGGGCAACCAGAGUCUCCUCCUACUCUGUAUUAAGGGCUUCACUUAUUUUUCUUAAUUAAGAUGUAACAGAGUUCUGUGGGAGUUAUGGCAUAAUUAUUAAGAACCUGGGAACAAAAACCAGGCUGCCAAGGUUCUUGCCUCUCCUACUUCAUAAACCUCUGACUCUCCUACUUCAUAAACCUCUCUCUGUCUUAAUUUCCCCAUCUACAAAAUGGGAUUUAUAUUAGUAAUGACCUCAUAGGGUUGUAAUGAGGAUUUAAUCAAUCAAUUCAUGUAAAGUGCUUAGAACAGCUCCCAGCUCACAGUAAAUAUUCAAUAUUAUGAUUACUAUGAGGUAGUAUUGUAGUUCCUUCAUUGUACAUUUAAAGAAAUUGAGGCUCAAGGAAAUAAAGUCAGUUUGCCUCAGAUCCUUCAGCUAGUAAUGACCUCAGUCCAUUUGUCUCCAAAGAUUAUACAUUAUCUGCUCCUCCCAAUUCUGUGAUUCUAUAAUCGUAUCAGCCAAAGCGAUCACUAUUGAUAGUUUUGGGUAGAAACUGAUUCCAAAGAUGGCCAUAUGCAUAUGGGGGAUAGAGAGAUACCUAUCUAAAGUUCCACCAUGAAUUAUUUUACAAAUAAGAAAACUGAGGCUUAGGGAGUAAAUGAUUUUGACAAGGAUCCAUAUCAAGAAAGUGACAGACUCAAAAUUUGGACCUAUGCUUCUUCCACCAGCAAAUUGGAGUUCUCUUUGCUAUUUCACAAUACCUACCCUGUGGCUAUAACCUAGAGCCAGUUACUGACCACCUGGAAUAUUCUCCUCAUUCUAGUAAACACAAAUGCUUUAAAAACAAAGGAAACAACAAAAGUGGAAUGCAGGCUGGAACUAGUUCUUGUGAAAACACACUGCCAUCCACAAACAUAGAAACAGCAUACUUCCUAACAAUUAUAUUUUUGUCACAUAGCCACAGCCUGAAAGACUUAUCUAACAAUCAACAUUUCAAGAGUAACCAAAGACAGCACUAUAAUGGAAGAGAGGAAGAAUUUGACUCUAAAAGACAAAUGUCAUAAAUUGGCGUAGAAAGAAUUGGCUUUGGAAAUGAGCAUCUUUAUGUUAGAGGCUCUUCCUCUGCCACUUUCUAGAAGUUGACUUGCCCUUUCUGAAAUUCAGUUUCCUCAUUUACAGAAAUGGGGCUGAUGUUGUUUACCUCACGGAGUAUAAGGAGUGAAAUGAUAACAAUGCAGGCAAGGCCCCUAGCACGAUACUUGUCACACAAAAAGUGUUCAGUGAUGGUGGCUGCCAAUCGGAACCUCCAAGACUGUCAUGAUUGGGAAACAGUGUUUAUCUCAAGAUACCAGGGAACCCAUAUAAACAUAUGGGCAGGAAAAUGGAAGUUCAGGACACUGUUUAAGAGGGUAGAGAGAAAAGUUCACAGUCUGCAAGCAUUGCAGCACAUCUUGUGAUAGAACUCUUCUCAAGAAAGAAUUUGUAGGACCUAAAAUUACCAUGGUUCUCUGUCCACUAAGGCAUUUCUUUGUAAACAUUCUUAGUAUGGCUGUCUUAAUGACAUGUAAUCAUUUCAUAUAAUCUCCUCUUGGACAGAGAGUUUGUUUUACAUAUCUUUCUAUUCCUAAUGCUAUUUCAGUAUCAAUACUCAAAAUAGGCUUUAUUGAAUUUAUGAAUAAAAGGUUUAAUUAAUUAAUCAAUUAAUGUCAUUUGGCCUACCACAAAGGAAACAUAACAUAUACAAGUCCUUACAGUAAAUGCACUCAGAGACUUCCUAAUCUAGGGAUCAGCAAACUUUCUCUAUAAAGGGAUAGAUAGUAAAUAUUUUUGGUUUUGAGGGGAAUAUAGUCUCUGUCAUGUACACUCAACUUUGCCAUUGUAACAAGAAAAUGGCCACAGGUAACUGCAAAAAUGAAUGAAUGUGUCUGUGAGAUUUAUGAACACUAAAAUUUAAAUUUCACAUAACUUUCAUGUGGCAUAAAAUAUUCUUUUUAUGUUUUUCAACCAUUUAAAAAUGUAAAAAUCAGUUCCUACAAAAAUAAGUGGGCUGUAAUUUGUUGAUCCCCAGGUUCCAGUCCAUGCUACAAUCAUCUGAGAAUGUUUCCAUACAGAGCUACUUCCAAUUAUUUCUGAUAAGAUUGAAUCUAAAGUCACUUCUCCAAAACUACCAAAUUGUUUUUUACAUAGAACCAAAUUCAAAAUAUAUACAAAUGGUAACUAUAUUCUUAUUUUCAAAUUCCUAUGGUUAACCUGAUAUGCCUGCAUCAUAAUACAAGCAUGAGGGUCUUUAUUGCAGAUAUGAUUUAGGAAAGUGCACUCUGUUAACAGAUCUAGUCCCUUGAACUUAAGCAUUUCUUCCUCUAAAUGAUAUUUUAUUGGAAAAUCAAUGGUUAUUCCAUAAAUAUAAGGUUCAUAAAAUAUGCAUCAGGAUCUUCCUGAAACUAAAUUUCAUGAUAUAUAUUUUGUUUAUUUUAAACUCAUACAUAUAAUCUGAAUGAACUAACCUUAUAUGUUUAUAAAGUUCAGAUAAUUAUCCACAUUGCUAUUUAUGCUGCAUUUCUGUCAUCUCUGGCUCUGUCUCCUACAAAAUGUCAUGCGAGAAAAACAGGAACAGGAUAUCUGUGAGAUUUAAAUAUCUCCUAAUCUAGUUAGUUUAUAUAUCAGCUAUUGAAAGCAAAGUGAAAACCAAGACAAUAAAUAAUGAGACAAUCUUUAGCUAUUUUAAAAACCAAACAAGUACAGUCUUAUCACUUGUGUUCAUUUUGAUUUUAAAUUUGCCAGGUGUGGUGGCACACACCUGUAGUCCCAGCUACUCAGAAGGCUGAGGCAGGAGAAUCACUUGAACCAGGAGGCAGAGGUUGCAGUGAGCGGAGAUCAUGCCACUGCACUCCAGCCUGGGUGACAGAGUGAGACGUCGUUAAAAAGGAAAAAAAAAAAAAGCAUUAUUUAUGGUUUGCUGUGGGAAAAGGCAUACUCUUACAAGAGCUAAUCUUAGUGCCUAAAAUGUAGAAGAAGAGUAGGGAAAAUUCACUUAAAAUGAUUGUUUGGAGCCCAUCUCAACAUCAUCACUGACUCACCUGAACUUUGGGAAGUUAAAAACUCCCCAAGUCACAGUUUCCCCUUUGUUAACUUUUCAUAGAAAUUCUUUUGUUCAUGUGCUGGUGAUUCAGAGAAUACUUUAAUGCCACAUCUGUAUAAGAGCAGCAAAGCUGGGUGAAAGCCAAGGGAAAAAAAAAAAAGAGGCCCAUUGACCAGAGGUUACAUUUCUGCCCCAAGAGUCAGGAGUAAUAAUUCCAGAUCUCUGCAGUUAAAUAAGUCACCAGAGUCAGUCUGAGUGGCUAUUGUUGCCUGUUGCUUACUCAUUUUUAAAUACUAAUUCAAGUUGACCAAGCAUAUAUGUGUAUAUAUACAUGUAUAUGUAUGUUACACAACAAUUGAUACCUAAAAUAACCCUAGUUAUCUAGUGUUAUAAUAUUUUUAGAGCUAUGUCUUCCAAGACUUCCAAAAGUUCAUAGAAUGUUUAUCUCCUUCUCUUGGUUCUUGUGACACUUUUAGUGUACCUGUUGGGUUUCUAGCAUUUAUUCUUUUCCCUAGAGUUUCUAACUUUCUAAGAGUUCUAAAAUCUUAAUGUUUUACAUUAUCUAUUUGCCUUACAAAUUAAUAUCAAUUUUAUUUUUUCUACUAUUGUAAUUAUUUGAAGUAGUAUGUGCUCAAUGUAAAAACACAGAAAAACAAAAAUUAAUCAUCUUCUCCAGCCUCCAACCAACCUCUUCUGGAGACAUUAAUAUUUCAUAUUAAUAUUCCACUGUAUAAUAUUCCACAAAUAAAUCUAUUAAAAUAUUUCCAGCCAUUCUCUAAAUUGAUAAACAUUCAUAUUUUUCUCAUGUUUUGCAUCUCUUCUAAACCCCAACCAAUUCCAUCCAAAGAUUAUCAGUGUUGCCUUUUUGAUAUCUAUCCUCUCUCACCUGUCUCUAUAUACAUUGAGGUGUACACCAACCUAUAUACCCAUGUAUUAAUUUUUGUUUACUUCAUUUUUGACAAAAUUUAAGCAAAAUAUAUUAUUUCAUUAAAACUUACUUCGUUUCAUUUAAAAAUGAAUUGCGGACAUGCUUGCAUAUAAAUAAAUUGAUCUUAUUCUAUUUUGAUGGCUGCACAAUAAUCCGCAAAGUGAUUGUAUUAAGAUAUUUCCAGUCAUUCUCUAACUUGAACAUUCAGAUUUUUUUCCAUGUUUUCCACUGCAAACAUCCAUAUGCAUAUUUUUUCAUGCGCUUGUGCAAAUAUUCUCUAGGACAUAUUUCCAAAGAGGAAUUUGCUGUCAAGUAACUUUCCUGACAGGUUAAAUGCGUUCACUCCAAGUGUAUGUGAAUACUGAUGCUAUCAAAUUCUUUAAUGUUUCUCAAUAGCAUGAGGGGAAAAUUAUAUUUUUUUACUGCUUCAAGCACUUUUUGACUACUAAUGAGAUUAAUCAUAUUUUCAAAUAUUUAUUGGCCACUUGACUUUAUUAUUAUUUUUCAGUUAGGUUAUCUUUUUAAAUCAAUGUAUGGUAAUGCUUUACAUGUUUGAAAUAGUAACACCUUCUCUGUCAUUAAGUAUCAAAUAUAUUUCCUCUGAAUCUCUCAUUUGACUUUUUAUGAUGUAGUUCAAUGUAUAGAAAAAUAUUUUCUUUCAUAGUCAUCCAUUUAUCUCUUCCCUUAAGGUCUCUAUUGUUCUUUCUUUCCUAAAGAACUUUUCAUUUUUACUUUCUUUUGUAGCUAGCCCUUUAAUGUAUUUGUGGGGUCUUUUGUAUAACACAUCAUGUAAGAACAUAAUUUUGUGUUUUCCAACUAGAUUGGGAAAUCAAUUCUGCCACCACUAUUUACUGAAUAUAUCAUUCUUUCCCUACUGAAUUGAAAUGGCAUCUUCACAUUAGGUUCCACUAUAUGCAUGAACUCUCUAGUUAGUUCUGUGAUCUACUUAUCUACUUCUAUACCAAAAUCAUACAGGUUUGAUGAUAAUAGCUUUGAAACAAGUUUUGAUAUCUGGUUAUGCCAAGACCCCAUUACUAAUAUUAUUCUAAAAAUUGUUGGCAAUUCUGCAACAUUUAUUCCAGAUGAACUUCUGUUUUGUCCUAUUUUUAACAACAUGUGAAAAUUCUGAUUGAAUAAAAGCUUUAUAUAUUCAUUUUUGAAUGACUGAUAUUUUUAUAAUACUAAUUUUUAAAAUUCUGAAACAAGACAUGUCUCUUAAUUUAUUUAAAACGUUCAAUAAUAUUUUAUAAUUUUUGUGCAGGAUAUGUGCAGGAUAUGUCUGCACAUAUCCUGAAGCCUUCUUUUAAAUACAUUUCUUCCUUUCUAACUGAUUAUUAAUAUAAAGAAAAGCAAUUUAUUUGCUUUUCCAAUAAUCUUAUACCUUCUACUUUAUUAAAUUAUAAUACCUUUAGUUAUAUCACUUGGAUUAUAUGCAAAUAAUAAUGUUCUAUGUUGUCAUGGUUCUAUAGUGUCUUCUAGGCCCUGCUUAUAAUAUUUAAACUUGUUCAUGUCACAGUUAUUUAAUAUUUGUUGUUUAUUGUCUUGAAUGCUUCUGCAUAGCUGCUGCCCAAAUAGAUGAUCCAACAAAUGAUUCACAAACAAUAACAGGAUGAAAUUAUGCAAAUAAAGAUGUUUGUCUCUUUUAAUAUUUAUGCUUUUUUUUUCUUGUCUCAUUGCUUUAUUUAGAACCUCCAAAAUAUCACUUAAUAAUGAAGAUAA
rnacentral:lncRNA from 10 species